rnacentral:rRNA from 1 species
UACGGAGGGGGGCUAGCGUUGUUCGGAAUUACUGGGCGUAAAGCGCGUGUAGGCGGCUAAGUAAGUCGGGCGUGAAAUCCCACGGCUCAACCGUGGAGUGACACUCGAAACUGCAUAGCUAGAGUCCUGGAGAGGAAGGUGGAAUGCUUGGUGUAGAGGUGAAAUUCGUAGAUAUCAAGCGGAACACCGGUGGCGAAGGCGGCCUUCUGGACAGUGACUGACGCUGAGACGGCGAAAGCGUGGGGAAGCAAACAGGG